rnacentral:sRNA from 1 species
GCGGCCGCCCCAUUCCCAGACAGGCCGCCAGCCCAUCUGGUUCGCUCCCGCCGCUCCGCGCCGCCCGGGAGUCGGGAGCCGCGGGGAACCGGGCACUUGCACCCGCCGCUGGGAGUGAGUGGUUCCAGCUGGUGCCUGGCCUGUGUCUCUUGGAUGCCCUGUGGCUUCACUCCGUCUCCUGUUGCCCACCAUCUCGUCCCUGGGCGGCCUGAUACUCCAGCCCAACAGCUAAGGUGUGGAUGGACAGUAGGGGGCUGGCUUCUCUCACUGGUCAGGGGCAGGCAGCCAAGUGGAGACUUUGAAUGGAGGCAAGGAUGGAGGGGACCUGGGGAAGAGGACUGGCCUGAAUCACCUUCCCCAAAGGUCCUCAUGGACUGAGCUGGAGGUUUUCUCCCCUGUCUGCCUCCCGGAGCUAGGACUGCAGAGGGGCCUAUCAUGGUGCUUGCAGGCCCCCUGGCUGUCUCGCUGUUGCUGCCCAGCCUCACACUGCUGGUGUCCCACCUCUCCAGCUCCCAGGAUGUCUCCAGUGAGCCCAGCAGUGAG